rnacentral:rRNA from 1 species
CCUACGGGGGGCAGCAGUGGGGAAUAUUGGACAAUGGGCGAAAGCCUGAUCCAGCCAUGCCGCGUGUGUGAAGAAGGCCUUCGGGUUGUAAAGCACUUUCAGUGGGGAAGAAAGCCUUGGGGCUAAUACCCUCGAGGAAGGACAUCACCCACAGAAGAAGCACCGGCUAACUCCGUGCCAGCAGCCGCGGUAAUACGGAGGGGUGCGAGCGUUAAUCGGAAUUACUGGGCGUAAAGCGCGCGUAGGCGGUCUGAUAAGCCGGUUGUGAAAGCCCCGGGCUCAACCUGGGAACGGCAUCCGGAACUGUCAGGCUAGAGUGCAGGAGAGGAAGGUAGAAUUCCCGGUGUAGCGGUGAAAUGCGUAGAGAUCGGGGGGAAUACCAGUGGCGAAGGCGGCCUUCUGGACUGACACUGACGCUGAGGUGCGAAAGCGUGGGUAGCAAACAGGAUUAGAUACCCUGUAGUC